UACGUAGGUGGCAAGCGUUGUCCGGAAUUAUUGGGCGUAAAGCGCGCGCAGGCGGUCUCUUAAGCCUGAUGUGAAAUCCCGUGGCUUAACCACGGGCGGUCAUUGGAAACUGGGGGACUUGAGUGCAGAAGAGAAGAGCGGAAUUCCACGUGUAGCGGUGAAAUGCGUAGAGAUGUGGAGGAACACCAGUGGCGAAGGCGGCUCUUUGGUCUGUAACUGACGCUGAGGCGCGAAAGCGUGGGGAGCGAACAGG
rnacentral:rRNA from 1 species